rnacentral:rRNA from 1 species
GAUGAACGCUGGCGGCGUGCCUAAUACAUGCAAGUCGAGCGAACAGAUGAGGAGCUUGCUCCUCUGACGUUAGCGGCGGACGGGUGAGUAACACGUGGAUAACCUACCUAUAAGACUGGGAUAACUUCGGGAAACCGGAGCUAAUACCGGAUAAUAUAUUGAACCGCAUGGUUCAAUAGUGAAAGACGGUUUUGCUGUCACUUAUAGAUGGAUCCGCGCCGCAUUAGCUAGUUGGUAAGGUAACGGCUUACCAAGGCAACGAUGCGUAGCCGACCUGAGAGGGUGAUCGGCCACACUGGAACUGAGACACGGUCAAGACUCCUACGGGAGGCAGCAGUAGGGAAUCGUCGGCAACGGGCGAAAGCCUGACGGAGCAACGCCGCGUGAGUGAUGAAGGUGUUCGGAUCGUAAAACUCUGUUAUUAGGGAAGAACAAAUGUGGAAGUAACUAUGCACGUCUUGACGGUACCUAAUCAGAAAGCCACGGCUAACUACGUG